AUUGAACGCUGGCGGCAGGCCUAACACAUGCAAGUCGAACGGUAACAGGAAGAAGCUUGCUUCUUUGCUGACGAGUGGCGGACGGGUGAGUAAUGUCUGGGAAACUGCCUGAUGGAGGGGGAUAACUACUGGAAACGGUAGCUAAUACCGCAUAACGUCGCAAGACCAAAAAGGGGGACCUUCGGGCCUCUUGCCAUCGGAUGUGCCCAGAUGGGAUUAGCUAGUAGGUGGGGUAACGGCUCACCUAGGCGACGAUCCCUAGCUGGUCUGAGAGGAUGACCAGCCACACUGGAACUGAGACACGGUCCAGACUCCUACGGGAGGCAGCAGUGGGGAAUAUUGAACAAUGGGCGCAAGCCUGAUGCAGCCAUGCCGCGUGUAUGAAGAAGGCCUUCGGGUUGUAAAGUACUUUCAGCGGGGAGGAAGGGAGUAAAGUUAAUACCUUUGCUCAUUGACGUUACACGCAGAAGAAGCACCGGCUAACUCCGUG
rnacentral:rRNA from 1 species